GAGCUGAGUACGAGAACAUGGACGUCUCUGUAAUCAGUGUCACUGUGGGAGGUGAGGUGCUGAAUAAGACUGGGUUUGUAGACCACCUGGAGGUUUCUCUACCAGUUGAGGUGACAGAGUACUUGUCUGCAGUCUUUCAGAGAGAGAAGGACCAGGCAAAUUAAGAUCCUAUUAAGAAGCUUGUGCAUAGUCAUCUAGUCAAGCGAUGGCAUCUUCAGUGGUGUGAUGCAGUUCUUCUAGGUCACCGCUGAACCUAGUCAGCAGGCAUUCACCGAUCAUGUGUCACGAAGGCCCCGGUGAUACUGGUUGGCUGCACAGAGACCUUGCCCAGUCUGGAACCUGUUCAACAGAGACCACUGAUGACGGGGCAGGUCAA